rnacentral:tRNA from 1 species
GCGGGGAUGCCGGAGCGGUCUAACGGGAUGGGCCUAGGACCCAUUGGCUUAGUGCCUUCGCAGGUUCGAAUCCUGUUCCCCGCA